UGUGCUAAUACCGCAUAAUCUCUCAGGAGAAAAGCAGGGGAUCGCAAGACCUUGCGCUUUAGGAGCGGCCGAUGCCUGAUUAGCUUGUUGGUAAGGUAAAAGCUUACCAAGGCUUCGAUCAGUAGCUGGUCUGAGAGGACGACCAGCCACACUGGGACUGGGACACGGCCCAGACUCCUACGGGAGGCAGCAGUGGGGAAUUUUGGACAAUGGGGGAAACCCUGAUCCAGCCAUGCCGCGUGAGUGAAGAAGGCCUUCGGGUUGUAAAGCUCUUUCAGCCGGAACGAAACGGU
rnacentral:rRNA from 1 species